UCCCUGGUGGUCCAGUUGGUGGGACUCCGUGCUACCAAUGCGGGGGGCCCAGGUUCAAUCCCUGGUCAGAGAA